UACAGAGGUCUCAAGCGUUGUUCGGAUUCAUUGGGCGUAAAGGGUGCGUAGGCGGCGCGGUAAGUCGGGUGUGAAAUCUCGGAGCUUAACUCCGAAACUGCAUUCGAUACUGCCGUGCUUGAGGACUGGAGAGGAGACUGGAAUUUACGGUGUAGCGGUGAAAUGCGUAGAGAUCGUAAGGAAGACCAGUGGCGAAGGCGGGUCUCUGGACAGUUCCUGACGCUGAGGCACGAAGGCCAGGGGAGCAAACGGG
rnacentral:rRNA from 1 species